rnacentral:lncRNA from 1 species
AAGUUUCAAAAAGCAAGGACGGUAUCUAUCCCCUCAAAAGAGCAAAAGUAGAAUUAGACUUCCACCACCAUUGUUUUCACCAUUGUUAUCACCAUCAUCACCAUACACCAUUCAUUCGCCACACAUGCACAUCUUGAUUUGGCUUAUUGAUUUGUUUCUUUGGAUCCAUGGUUUGACUAUACAAUAAAUGUCUUAUAAGUAUGUAUACUUUAUCUCCCACCUAUGAGCUCCAGAUAUUAAAGCCUUAUUAGAGUAGGAUGAGAGAGAAGGCAAUGUCAUUAUGCUUUAUACCACAAAUACUACAUAUCUUGAGAGAAGGCAUAUACCAUCACUGCCUUGGUAAGGAUCCAAAAAUACCACAAAAGAGAGACCUGAGAGAAUCAUACAAGGAAACUCUGAGUUUUAUUUAAAAAUCUGCAAAAACCCCAGAGCUAUAGCUGAUCAAGAAUAAGAGACAUGGCACUUGACUAGACUGUUCUAUCUUUUAACCACUCAAGACAGAAGUGACAGUUACAAGUCCCAUGGUGAAGGUAAAGUAAGUAAGUUUUAAGUCUUGACAGUUUACUCUAACUC